GUGGGGGAUAUUGCACAAUGGAGGAAACUCUGAUGCAGCGACGCCGCGUGAGUGAAGAAGUAUUUCGGUAUGUAAAGCUCUAUCAGCAGGGAAGAUAAUGACAGUACCUGACUAAGAAGCCCCGGCUAACUACGUGCCAGCAGCCGCGGUAAUACGUAGGGGGCGAGCGUUGCUCGGAUUGACUGGGCGUAAAGCGCGCGUAGGCGGUCCAUUAAGUGUGCGGUGAAAUUCGGAGGCUCAACCUCCGUCCCGCCGCGCAAACUGAUGGUCUUGAGAUUGGGAGGGGGAUGCGGAAUUCCUGGUGUAGCGGUGAAAUGCAUUGAUAUCAGGAGGAACACCGGCGGCGAAAGCGGCAUCCUGGCUUAUAUCUGACGCUGAGGCGCGAAAGCGUGGGUAGCAAACGGGAUUAGAUACCCUUGUAGUCC
rnacentral:rRNA from 1 species